rnacentral:lncRNA from 1 species
UGAGUUGUACGUGACUGUUCUAUGUGAGAUAUAGAAGUUAAGGGGAAGAAAUAUUAAAGACGUGCAAGGAAAAGCUAUCAGAAAUCCACAGGACCACCUUUGGAAAAAGAAAUCUGUUAGAUUGUUUGGACCUCACAGAAAAAUGAUGAGCAUCUAGGAAUCAAGCUGUGGAGGAACUGCGGCUUCUAGAGAUGCACUGGGUGGUUACACCAGAAAUGCUGUCCUGCACCUGAGAAGCAUUAUGGAUCAAAAGCACUGGAGGACUGUUCCGUGUUAAAUUUAAUUUUCAUAGCAAGAUUUUCAAAGCAGUCUUUAGG